CGCCCCAGGUCUUGGAAGUCAGCUGUUUCCCCUCCUCACAGACAACCUCCAGGGCAGGGCGGCAGGCAGCUGCUACAGAUUGAUUUCUCCACUUAGUUGUCUCCGCUUGCGGCUUCCUCCCACCAGUGAGGAGUAAGAGAACCCCCCCGUCUCUGAUGAAAGUGGGGGCUGAACACUGAACCAGACCCACACUGCUCAGCACAUUUGAUGGGACCAGAAACACGAACUGCAAAGGCUGAGAAAGCUUUUCAGGGACCGUCUGGCUGUGUGGGUGCGAAGACCAGGCUAUACGUGGAAUCACCUGGGAAGACUUACAAAAAUGGAUUCUGAGCCUCACCCCCAAGGAUUCUGACUUGGGUUAUUCAGUGUCUCAUGUUUGUGUACCUUAACUGCACAGAAGAGUGCUCAGUACGUGGGAACGAGGGCCGCAGGGCAUUGCUUCCUUCCCCAGGGCUUGGUACCUACCAGGCACUAGCAGACAGGCAGUCUGGUCAUAGCAGCUGAGUGAUGAGUGAACCGCUUGGAGGCUGCACAUGUUGCCCAGACUCUUUUAGGUCUAUCUCCCCUAAACGCAUCUGUGAAAGCACACAAAGCAACACCCUGAGGCAGCAACAGCUCCAGUCCGGGAGUCUGAGGAGCAGAGAGAAACUGAGGCGGCUACAGGAGUCCAGUGGGCAGUGAGGCAAUGGAAGAAGGAAAGGCAACCCCGAGUGAAAUUGGGAUUACAAUUGUACAAAUGUCUGUUUCUGACGCAAGAAGCACAUCAUUUGUCCACAUCACAAUCUCUUGGAAUUUAUGACAAAGCCAGGUAAAUGAAAACUUGGAAAGAUAAACCUCAGAUAAGGGGGAACUACUGUAUUCAUUCCUUCACCAUGGCGCGUCUAUGUCUGGGAAUCUACCCUUAAAAACAAUCUGGAUGCAAAGAAGUCAUGAGAUAGAGCACAGUCCCUCCAUUUCAUAACAGAACGGAACUAACUCAAAUACACAACGGAACGGGUAAGUAAAGUAUUGUACUACCCUUAAUGUAAUAUUGUGGGGCCAUUGAAAAGAUGCUCACAUGUUGCUGGAAAUCUGAGAAGUGUUUCUACCUGUGGCAUUUUAUCACAUUUAAGACACUGUUGAUUAGAAAACACACCACCAUUUCACAUACCUUUAAAGAAUUAAAAAAUACCCAGAAUGGUUAUCUAAUAAGGGCAGGUCUAAGUAAAGCUGGGAUCCUAAAGGGCUAUUUCUUUGGUGUGAGGAGAAUGACAAGCAGCCUCGUCAGGCAGAAAGAGCCAGUGUCCCAACCAUGGAGCCGGAUGCAGGGAGGGAACAAAACCGCCCCUGAGGACGUGCACAAGCCAGUACUCACGCUGGUUUGAGUCUGAAUUUGCACUAACAUAUGGUCUGGAGACACCUCAAGCGAAUGCUGUAACUGAAUUUAAGUUUAAGGUUAUGUCAAGUUGGCAGUGCCCCAGGUGACUGGCAGAAACAAAUACAAGCUCCAGAAAGAGCUGAAUGUUAACACCACUGGCAGUGCCUGUAAAUCAUCAGCCACUGUACAGUGCAGGAUCCAGAGAUGUUACAAUGUGAAGGGAGUCUUAGAAUUCACCGUAAGUAAAAAAGCAGAGUCAAAUGGGUAUGCGGAGGAUGACAUCUCUUUGACGAGUACAAUGACUGGAAGGAAAAACACAGUAAAACGUUCACAGUGAUUUUCUGUAGGUGGUAACACUACAGCAUUUUCUCUCUUUAAACGAGUCCACAUUUUCCAGCUUUUUCUAAAGUGACCAUAUAAGAAAAGGAGAAAUAAAACGAGGAGACGCAAGUGAGAGAAUGACUUUGGGUGGGGUGGUCAGGGAGGUGACCCUGAAGGAGGUGACACCUCAACUGAGAAGGGACCAGCAGAGCAGAAGCCACCUGAAGCGUUCACUGCUACAUGUGUAUCCAGGACAAGGGUCUGGGGCACAGGGACGAUGCCUGAUAUGUAUUUGUUAAAUUAAUACUCGGGUUAAGGAAGGAAAAAGCUGCUAAAA